ensembl:lncRNA
CAAGUGCUCAGAGUCACACAGGCCAAGGCAGUGGUAGAAGGACAAGUGAAAUUCCUGCAACGAGAGCUGGAAGCAGAGGGAGCUCUCAGGAGGAAGGAACAGGAAGAGAGAGCUCAGCAGCUCAUGCAGGCAGAGCAGAAGCAUAAGGAAAGCCUCAGGCUUCAGGGAACACCUCAGCAAGUACAAGUAAACAAGCUCCUGCACGACCUGGUAGGGGACAAUAUGCUUCUGAAUUGUCCGAGCUGGGCCUGUGGGAAGGUUUAGCUCAAGCAGAACCUGAGAGUGAGAAAGGGCAGCAAUCCUCUGCCAGAGGCCUCUUGCUGCUGGGCUGGGCAGCAGAGUCAGCAUCUCAGACUUGGAGGUGUGUGAAGCCUCCCCAGGCUGGUGCUGGGACAGCAAAUGCAGCCAUGGCUCCAGUGAGGGCGUAAGAGGAGUUCCAGAGCAGGUUGGGCAGUGCCCACCCAAAGUGUGACAGCCCAGGGCAGGAUCAUCCCUGAGUCUCUCCUGCCACGGAGCAGAUGCCAUCAUGCAGCAGAUGCCAACAUGGAGCAGAUGCCAACAUGGAGCAGAUGCCAUCAGUGCUUCUGGCUGCAGGAGCGGGAACUUGGGUCCUUUCUUGCUGUGCUUCCAUGAUUGACACAGGGAUUAGGUUUGGGCUGGAAGCCAAUGGAACAGGCCCCUGGUCCUUCAGUGCUUGUGGCUGGGGCAUCAGGGAGGGGAAGGUGACACCUCCUUUUGUGAGUGCUUGGGCUCAAUGCUUGUGAAGGCUUUUCCCAACAGAAAUGAUUCCAUGAGGCUGUGAUUCUUGCAGCUGCUGAGCCUCCUCUUAAAUUCCCAGGCAGGACAUGGUUUCUGGAGUGCAGAAAGCCAGUGCUGUUGUCUUUUCAGGUUGGGGUUUGUGGGAUGGAUGAAGCUUCACAUCUUUCAGCAAGGAGCUUGCUGGGACUUCAUCUUGCAAAUUUCUCCUCCCCUCCUCAGGCAAGUGAACGUGAAAGGCACCGUGCUAAGAUGCUGGAACAAUGGCAAGAAGAGAAGGCAAAGAGAGAGCGGGAACACGAGAAGGUGCUGCUUGAGCUGAGGCAGAAAGUUGCCACCCUGCAGGCCCAACAACAAGACGAACAAACUAGAUUUGAAAAAGCCAAGCGACAGGUGCUGCAGGAAGAGCAGAAUGAGAAGAGGGCUUUAACAGAGACACUGCUCCAAACUCGGGGACAGCUCAGCCAAGUGUGCCAGCAGGUCCAGCAGCUCAGGCAGGAGGUGAAAGAGCAGCAAGAGAAGGGACAGACCAUCAAGGCAAAGCUGCAAGCUGAGCUGCAGGAAGCUCACAAUGAAAUGCUGGCAGUGCAGAGGAGGCACAAGGAAGAACUUCAGGGCAUCAGAGAGAGGAGAUGAAUGUCCUCCUUGAGCAGAGGGAUGCUCUACAAAAGCAGGUGGAAGAGUUGACAUCUCAGCUGGCAGCCUCCCGAGAGUUCCUGGAAAGCAGAGUCCAGAGAGCCCAGCAAUAUGUGAGCGAGGCCCAGGCACAGUCAAGGCAGAAGCAAUUGGAGGCUGAACACAUCCAGAAGAGGCUGGAGGAGGCAGAACAUCAGAAGAAGGAGCUCCAAGUGAAGCUGCAGAAACUGGAGAGGGAAUGGAGUGAAUGCAAAGAAGUGGCACUGGAAAAUUUUGAAUUGCAGGCUUCCGUGAAUGUCCUAGAGAGGGAAAGAGACAGGUAAAUGAAAGCCUGUGGGACUCUGCAAUGUGGUGAAUGCAUUCCCUCUUUGCCAUCUUUGCACCUACCUGGGGCUCUGGCAGCAUUUCCUAAGUGGCAGAUUCUGAACUCUCCAUGAAGACACAUCUCAUUAUCUGUAUGUUGUGUUCAUUCUCUAAUAUUUUAAGCCUUCACUUGGAGUUUUUCUGAAGACAAAGGCUUUUGGGGUAGCUCUUUCCCUCUAGGGAGUGUUGUGCUGUUAGGUUAGGUUAGGUUAGGUUAGGUUAGGUUAGGUUAGGUUAGGUUAGGUUAGGGUGUGUUAACAGUGCUGGAGCUGCAGUGUAAGGAGCUGGAUACAUCCAUCAGCUCCACCUUGGCUGCUGUAACUUGAAGCCUUUGGGAUCUGAUCAGCCUGGCAUCUGAUGCCUUUGCUGGGCAGAACCUUCUUAAGGCCCUGAGUGCUGAUCAAGCCCAGAUUGCCCUGGGAGGCACCCA